rnacentral:rRNA from 1 species
AACGUAGGUACCGAGCGUUAUCCGGAUUUACUGGGCGUAAAGCGCGUUCAGGCGGUCCGGCAAGUCGGGCAUGAAAUCUCUCGGCUCAACCGGGAGAGGUUGUCCGAUACUGCCGGACUAGAGGGCAGUAGAGGGUGGUGGAAUUCCGGGUGUAGUGGUGAAAUGCGUAGAGAUCCGGAGGAACACCAGUGGCGAAAGCGGCCACCUGGACUGCACCUGACGCUCAAACGCGAAAGCUAGGGGAGCGAACGGG